ensembl:lncRNA
CACACGUGGCGCGUAGCACGUAGACGCCAGGGCGGCGUUGCCAAGCAGAGCCCGCCACCUCUCACAAACCUCAUGUUUACGCACCCGGUUUGAGUGUCUCUGGCUGACGGCGAUGAGCUCUGUGGACGCGGGGCAGCGAGGCGAAGAGGAGAGAAGGAGGGAUCAAGUGCUUCGAGCGAGGAGAGGAAACGAGGACGUAGGGAGUCAGAGAGGAGCCACGGGACGGGUCGACAGAUGGGACUGUUUUUGAAAAGAGGGGAAGAAGAUGAAGAGGAGGAGACAAACCAGGGAGGAAGCACGAGCUGCUGAUGCUGUUGGCCCUGAGUCAAGGCGGUGACACGUCUCCCCUUUUCUCUCGUUGUGACUUAACGACUUCGGGAUCCGUCUCCAUUCAGCUCGAUCUUCGCCGCGCCGUCAUAAGUGCUGAGAUUUAGUGCCGGGCGACGCCUCCACUCCUCCUGCAUUUAGCAACCCAAACGUGUCUCCGGGAUUAACAUGAGAUCUCAGUGUUUUUGGAGGCGUGUUAAUACAGGAGGAGGCAGCGUGCACUGAACCCAUAAAGGCUGCUCAUAUAAGUGUUGAUUUUGGUGUGAUGGUAUCUGUAAAAGAGGUCAUAAAGACUCCUUUCGCAAAAGGUUUUUUAGCGAAAGGAGCCACAAGAUUCAUUUAUCUAUUUGUGGUUACACUGAUUAACUCAAAUAUUUGCAUUAAAUGAAGUAUGACAGGUACAGAAUAGAGAGUGAAGCCGUUUAGCAGGGACUGAGAGAACUACCAUAUCCUAAAAAGUGAACUGCACUAAUACGGAUCAAUUUGAAUCAUCGUUCAUGUUGAUUAAACGGAGUAGAAUUGGUGCACAGUUCAAAGUGAAACAUUGCACAUUAAAAACAGCGAUAGCGCGCCGCCUGUUAAUGACUGAAAGUCGGGCUGCCGCUAUUAGCGUUACUGAUUAAUGUGUAAGUGCUGUGGCUCAGGGCUCCGCUCCCUCGUGGAGGAGAGACGCUGCCAGCUGGAAACGGACUGAGAGACCAUUCAAACCAAACUAUUUUCAGCCUAAGCGUUAAUCCAGUUUGUGUUGCCGGUUCCGCGGUAUCCGAUAUUCCAUAACGGUCCAUAUAAUCAGCUUCAUCAUAAAAUGUAAUUCAUCCUAAAGCUUGAUGAAUGAAUGUGUCUAACUCGGCCCAAAGGAGAUUGUUUUAUCGUCAUCAUUUCUUCAAAACGCCUCAUGUCUCUUGUUUUCCAGGUGUUUCUUUGUGUGAUCUGUUUUAUUCCCUCCUGGAGAUGCAGCUCGGCCUCAAAGGUCGGGGAGCGCCUCAGGCCAUCGCAGCCAAAGUCAACAAACAAACGGACCACGCGGGGCUGUUAUUUGUUUAGGACCAGGGAGGGGGCCGAGGGGGCCGAGGGUCGCCGCUAUAUCGGGACCAGCGAGGCUUCACGCUGCGGAGGCUCGGCGGUCGCCGCAGCCUAAAAUAAACAGACUGGUUCCGAAAUGAUCCAAACAGGGACACUGAUCCAUCCUGAUCCUUCACUGCCCAAACUCUAAUUAUAGGGUCACUGCAGCCAGCAGGACAAACACAGCAAGGUCCUCUGGUUGGACGCAGCUGCCCCAGAACACGCCGACCCCUGCACCUAGUGACCCAGCCCUGCACGCGAGCAGAAUGGUGGUUUGUCGGAUCAACACUUUGGUCACCAACUGUCAUUUAGACCUUCGUGGUUUCCAGGGAACCAACGGAUCCGCUGACAUUUCCUCUGCCGUCAGCAGGCGCUCAAAGUUUGCACUUGGCCGUCGGACGAUGAUGGAUUGGCCCAGUUUGUAGACACUCGUGGUUCCCAGAGGAUGAACCCUACUGACUGAAAGGUGUCUAUAACCACCAAAUGGAUCUGUAAUGAGGCUUCAGUGUUUUCCACCUUACAAGCAGAGAUGCACAUUUUAUUUUCAAUUUCCACUUAUUAUUCCUGGUACUGUUUUUUACAUUGCUCUGCCUUAUGAUGUGGGCUACAGGUACAGAAUGUGAGAACAAAACAGCCCACUUUCAUUUAACUGAAGGAAUGAAAGAGUACGUUUCACAUUUGCAGAGACACUAUUGCUGUUGUGCAGCUACUAAUCUGCAAAGAGCUGCCAAGAUGUGCUUUUUAAGCCCUCGGGCAUCAUCUUGAAGAACAAUGAAUCGUGUUUCUUCAAAAUCGCGUUUCUUCUAAAUUGGAUACCAAUUAUUUCUUAUCAACAAACUUCCUUCUUUCUGUAAAGAAAGAACAAAGUGACGCUCACAAAGGGACCACGUCUCUCUCUCUCUCACGUCGCUAAUAUGCAAUCAAGCAGAAUGUCAACCUCGCUCCGUGUCUACACGUGAUGAUCGUGUAAACAUCCACAGGCUGCAGGGAAAUACAUGAAAACGGAUUAGGACACAAAACAAUAUCCAGUAAAUAAAAGAAAAAUAAUAAAACAAGGCGUCUCCAGGUCUUCUGCUGUCGAGGACGUCCUCACUGAAGGGAUCAUCAGCAGCGCUUCAACGUGUCCGUACGCCGGCGACGGACCGCGGAGACGCAUCUGUAAUAUCCGCUCAAAUCAGUCAGUCAGUCAGUCAGUCAGUCAGUCAGUCAAGGGCAACACAUUCACUCAGUGGAUGCAUAUGGAUGGAGAGGGAUUUAUUAAGCCGGGGAGGGAAUCCAGGCGGGCGCCGUCUGACCUGCUCGCUUCCUCUGCCUGUAAUUUACUGAACAGCAGUCAGCAUCUUUCUACCCGGAGCUCCAGGGUGACUUUCACAUCUCACUUUUUGCCCAUUUCUGCUCACAUUAGAUGGAGGGGCUGGGGGGGUGGGGGGUGGGGGGGGGGGUACCACAUACAGCGAAGGGUCACGGAUUGGAUUUGAACCAGGAGGCUUAAAGUGCGACGUAAUCCAACAAGGAGGCAUUUAUUUCCAAUGCAUUUAGCGCCUUCAGCUCUCCUCCCUGCGAAUAAACUCCCCUAUUGUAACAGGAAGUCGUGAUAUAUAUAUAUAU